rnacentral:rRNA from 1 species
GAUGAACGCUGGCGGCGUGCCUAAUACAUGCAAGUCGAGCGAACAGACGAGGAGCUUGCUCCUCUGACGUUAGCGGCGGACGGGUGAGUAACACGUGGAUAACCUACCUAUAAGACUGGGAUAACUUCGGGAAACCGGAGCUAAUACCGGAUAAUAUAUUGAACCGCAUGGUUCAAUAGUGAAAGACGGUUUUGCUGUCACUUAUAGAUGGAUCCGCGCCGCACUAGCUAGUUGGUAAGGUAACGGCUUACCAAGGCAACGAUGCGUAGCCGACCUGAGAGGGUGAUCGGCCACACUGGAACUGAGACACGGUCCAGACUCCUACGGGAGGCAGCAGUAGGGAAUCGUCCGCAAUGGGCGAAAGCCUGACGGAGCAACGCCGCGUGAGUGAUGAAGGUCUUCGGAUCGUAAAACUCUGUUAUUAGGGAAGAACAAAUGUGUAAGUAACUAUGCACGUCUUGACGGUACCUAAUCAGAAAGCCACGGCUAACUACGUG